rnacentral:lncRNA from 1 species
CAAGUGCCUAAAGAGAAUAGAUGAUAGAGAAUUAACAAAGUAAGACAUGAUGUGGAGGGUAAAUGAAAGGAAAGAAGACUUCAUGUGAAAUUUAUUUUUUGAAUUUUAAUUUCUAUAUUAACAUGCUUGGACUAGGAAAAAUGUUUAUUGAUAUUUCUAUUUAUUUGGUAGCUCCUUGGCUAUCCUACCUUUCAUGACCAGGUCUACUUGAUUAUCCCAAAAAAAAAAUGCAUCAAAUUUUUUUGCUCUAUGAGCAAUUGCCCCAUUAAAAUGCCUUUUCUAAGCUCUAAUUAUGUAUUGCUCUGGCAUAGCUAAGUGAUGAGCUGUAUAUUCAUACAAUAGCUAUAAUAAGUGGCAUACCAAGAACUACAACAUUACUAUUAUGGCCUAUAAUUCUCAGACUUGGGCUACCUUUAACCUGGAGACCCACUCUCCUCUGACCUACAGCUGGCUUGCUUUCUUGCCUUGUUAUGAGUGCUCGCUCCCUUCACCGACCCACCUCCCUCUAUUCUCCUUCCUAGCUUCUAUUACCAUUUUUUCUUUCUCUUCCCUUCUUCUUUUGCCUAGACCGACUGCCCAUGCUCACAUCUCAGAACUCAGAAAACUUGCUGUACACGACCUCU